rnacentral:rRNA from 1 species
GAUGAACGCUGGCGGCGUGCCUAAUACAUGCAAGUCGAGCGAACAGACGAGGAGCUUGCUCCUCUGACGUUAGCGGCGGACGGGUGAGUAACACGUGGAUAACCUACCUAUAAGACUGGGAUAACUUCGGGAAACCGGAGCUAAUACCGGAUAAUAUAUUGAACCGCAUGGUUCAAUAGUGAAAGACGGUUUUGCUGUCACUUAUAGAUGGAUCCGCGCCGCAUUAGCUAGUUGGUAAGGUAACGGCUUACCAAGGCAACGAUGCGUAGCCGACCUGAGAGGGUGAUCGGCCACACUGGAACUGAGACACGGUCCAGACUCCUACGGGAGGCAGCAGUAGGGAAUCUUCCGCAAUGGGCGAAAGCUUGACGGAGCAACACCGCGUGAGUGAUGAAGGUCUUCGGAUCGUAAAACUCUGUUAUUAGGGAAGAACAAAUGUGUAGGUAACUAUGCACGUCUUGACGGUACCUAAUCAGAAAGCCACGGCUAACUACGUG